GACGAACGCUGGCGGCGUGCCUAACACAUGCAAGUCGAACGAGUGGCGAACGGGUGAGUAUUACGUGAGUAACCUGCCCGAGGGGGGGGAUAAGACUGGGAAACUGGGUCAAAUACGGAAUAGGUGGGGAUGGGCUCGCGGACUAUCAGCUUGUUGGUGGGGUGAUGGCCUACCAAGGCGGGGACGGGUAGCCGGUCUGAGAGGGUGAUCGGCCACAUUGGGACGUAGAUACGGCCCAGACUCCUACGGGAGGCAGCAGUGGGGAAUAUUGCACAAUGGGCGCAAGCCUGAUGCAGCGACGCCGCGUGAGGGAUGAAGGUUUUCGGAUCGUAAAGCUCUGUUGUAGGAGAAGCGUUAUCUUACCAGAAAGCCCCGGCUAACUACGUGCCAGCAGCCGCGGUAAUAC
rnacentral:rRNA from 1 species